UAGAGUUUCGAUCCUGGCUCAGGACAACGCUGGCGGCGUGCUUAACACAUGCAAGUCGAACGCUGAAACCAGAGCUUGCUUUGGUGGAUGAGUGGCGAACGGGUGAGUAACACGUGGGUGAUCUGCCCUACACUUUGGGAUAAGCCUGGGAAACUGGGUCUAAUACCGAAUAUUCACACCACCGUAGGGGUGGUGUGGAAAGCUUUAUGCGGUGUGGGAUGAGCCUGCGGCCUAUCAGCUUGUUGGUGGGGUAAUGGCCUACCAAGGCGUCGACGGGUAGCCGGCCUGAGAGGGUGUACGGCCACAUUGGGACUGAGACACGGCCCAGACUCCUACGGGAGGCAGCAGUGGGGAAUAUUGCACAAUGGGCGCAAGCCUGAUGCAGCGACGCCGCGUGGGGAUGAAGGCCUUCGGGUUGUAAACUCCUUUCGCUAGGGACGAAGCCUUUAGGUGACGGUACCUGGAGAAGAAGCACCGGCUAACUACGUG
rnacentral:rRNA from 1 species